UUCAAACAACACAUACGGUCA
rnacentral:piRNA from 1 species